CGUGCAAACAGGAACAGGGGCGAAUCCGA
rnacentral:piRNA from 1 species